rnacentral:sRNA from 1 species
AAUAACAAUUAAUAUAAAGGAUGUGUUGGCAAAAUAGUCACUUUUUAAACUUAAUUAGGAAAGUAGUCACUUUACUAUUCAUAAUUUGCAAAAUAGUUACUUUUCACUGUUUGAUUCGUACACUUGGAUUAUACAUCACUUUUAGUGUACAAAUGUAAAGUGUACGCUGUGUAUUUUUAUAUAUAUUUGUACACUAAAAGUGGUGUACAAUCUAAGUGUACGAAUCAAACAGUGAAAAGUGACUAUUUUGCAAAUUAUGAAUAGUAAAGUGACUAAUUUUCCAAUUAAGUUUAAAAAAGUGACUACUUUGCAAAUUAACCCUAAU